UGGCGGACGGGUGAGUAACACGUGGGUAAUCUGCCUUCGGGUGGGGAAUAACCCAGGGAAACUUGGGCUAAUACCGCAUAAUGCAGCGGCACCUAAUGGUGAUUAGUUGUUAAAGCGGGGGAUCGCAAGACCUCGCGCCUGAAGAGGAGCCUGCGGCGGAUUAGCUAGUUGGUAAGGUAAUGGCUUACCAAGGCGACGAUCCGUAACCGGCCUGAGAGGGCGGUCGGUCACACUGACACUGACAUACGGGUCAGACUCCUACGGGAGGCAGCAGUCGGGAAUUUUGGGCAAUGGGCGAAAGCCUGACCCAGCAACGCCGCGUGAAGGAUGAAAUCCCUCGGGAUGUAAACUUCGCAAGAACGGGAAGAAUUAGUAGGGGUCAAUACCCCCUAUGAUGACGGUACCGUUUGUAAGCUCCGGCUAACUCCGUGCCAGCAGCCGCGGUAAU
rnacentral:rRNA from 1 species